AGAAUUUGGUUUUAAACAAUAUAAUAAUAUGCUAUUUCAGAACAGAGAUGCACUAAGAUUACCUUUAAACAAACAAAUAUAUAUUGGCAUUUUAAGACUGCUUUUCUUUCAAGUUCCAUAUAAUAUGACCCUGUGUCAUGAUAUUCAUGGGUUUUGAUUCUGGAUUUAAUAUAAACAACAUGUUCUUAAACUACUGCAAAUUUCAACCUUCAAAGGAGAUACUGCUUUAAAAAUAAAGACCAUGAGGAACUUGAAGCAGAGGAGUACUCAAGAUUUAUACUGCUGUGAUUUUACAAGUGCUUUUAUAUUCACAAGAUUUGGCAUGUGGGGGGAAGAUAUUUCUGUUAUUCAGUCAAUGUCACACUUAACAAUUUAGAAAGGUAAGCAGUAGGUGGUCAACCUUCAAAGCACUUGAAAACAAUUAGAUUUGGAUCCUGAGCUAUGUACCUGGCUUCACUGGUGCCCUCACAUGCCCUAAAAGAUGUAACAUAUUACUUAUCAAAGUCAUUUCCUUAUGAAACACAGAAAAAAAGCAUGUUAGGCCUUAAAGUGUGGCUCUAAUAUACCAUAUUUCACUUUUGAAGAGCAUAAACAUUCUAGAAGCAUUCUCCUAAUUUGUUUGGUUUUAUUUUUUAAAAGACCUAUCUUUAAACACUAAAACAAAGAUCUCUUUGUACUUAACUAUGCUAACAUACACCUCUGGUUUGCAGUUUCUUGGCAUUCUUCAGGGAUUUAGGUACUUUGAGUAGUUUGAUGCAGGAAUCAGGUUGCCUCUGGUCAUCUUUUUCUGCUUACCUAUUGUGAUUUUGUUUAUGGUCCCAUGAAUAUGAAUGCAUCUUGGGAAAAUGUGUUUUGAGAAGACACUGAUGGGAUAGAUUGCCACUCCAAUGGUUAGUUCAGUGCAAAAAAAUGUUGUUUCUUUCUUUUCAAAACUGUGGAGAUGGUUAUGUGCUGAACCAGCAGUCUUUGUUGCAUCAGAGCCUUUUCCACAUGUACGAGUAAAGAUUAGAGAAGGAAGAAACAGGAAAGCGUGAAAAUUGAGAGGAGAAUGGGAAAAGGUAAGGGAUUAAAUGUGUAGAACAUGGUUAGCUGAGGUGAGCAGUUUAAACUUCAUGUAAUAAGCAGAUUCAAAAGAGUAAGUAAGGUGACAUAAUAGUGGCAAAGAAAAA